GCCAUCCAGAGGCAGGACGACAUUUUUGCAAGUGUGCAAGCCAAUGCUGCAAAAGUGAGGAAUGGAGUCAGAAAAAGUGAGCAGCAGCAGGGCACACAUAUGGCCAUGGAAGUAGGUGGCAAGGUGCUGAGGCAGAAUAUCAGAAGCCAGCAGAGGAAGGGUGGCCAGUUGGACCCUAGUUUUCUAGGGCCGUACACAGUGGUCAAGGUGGAUGGAAAGAGCGUGGACAUAAUGGAUGGCAGGGGUACAGUCUUUCCCAAAAUCAACACCGACCAUUUAAUUCACUUUGAGGAACCACCAGCUAAGCAAACAAAAACCCAUUUGUCAUGCGGUGUGUUUGUGUGUACAGUAAGUGUGUUGACAUAUUCAAAAGUUUUGUUAAUUGUUAAUAAAAGCAUCUGCCACAUAACAUGUAUGUAAAGAGCAUCGCUAAAUUGAAUGUGUAUGGCUCAGAUUGCAGAGGUAGUGGUAACAGGGGGAGAUUUAGAGUUCUCCUGCACCCAGAGGGAUGUGGCCAAUCUUCUGGAAAAAUCCGGUAUUUCUGACAAAUUUACCAAAGGUCAAAUAGAGAUCAAAGUACAAGACUUAGAGAUCAGAAUUCAUAAAUGUUUGUUUCCACAGAAGACCUUGGUGAAUUGUGUUUACUUUGUGGAGACAGUUAUCCUUGUACACAAGACUCGGUGGAUACUUGGAGAUUAUUCAAAAUUUGCUGAAGUGAAAGUCAUUUGAGGUGGAAGUUGUUUGUGGAAGUCGUUUGAGGUGGAGAUCGUUUGAAGUGGAGGUGGAGGUCGUUUGAAGUGGAACUCGAGUGCAUCAAAGAUUUUUUUCACGUGUGCAUUUUUUUGUGUGGUUGCCUAUUUGGGGGGAACAGUAAAUGAGUUCAGUUUAGAGAUAUCUUGAUAGAUACUUUUAAUUUGUACAGAGUUUCAUCAGUGUAUCUGUUUUAUGAUAUUUGUAUUUUUUGUCUUUAUUUUCUAGAGAUUAUUUGAAAUUUGCUAAGUGGAAGUAGUUAGUGAAAUGGUCAAAAGACCUAAGUUAGUUUAGGUUACACCGCUGUGUUGGAAAUGUUUUUUCUAAAAUAAACCAUGUCAACAUCCAAAAACCA